CCGUUCGCUCUCCACUCUCGCUCCCAACCCGGAAUCCUGCCACAGAUAUUUGUUCCUAAUCAAAUUGCUGUUAAUAAUAAAUGGACGCACAUUAUAUUGCUGGUUUUGAAAAUGUUGAAGACGGUUAAUGCAAUAUUAAUCGCCCAGGUUGAUAUAAAACAGAGAGAGCGCGUGUUGGGCAACCGAGGCACAGUCAUUUCCAACAGGAUUUCGUCUUAGACGGGCAGAGGUCCUCCAGUAGUGAUAGCGAGAGACUGUGCCCACACACACAAACAGGCAAAGACUGGCCACCAGGAUAAUCCAGAGACCAUCAGUACCUCCUCGUCAACCCCAAAGCUGAGCUGCAGGGACGAAAUCGGUACCGUCACCGCCUACACUUGAAGCAAGGAUCAAUGGAACAUCCUGUUCAUUUGGACAAGUGCAUCAGCUACCCAUUUAAAGACCCGAGGAGAAAUGUCAGUGGAGCUGAAUUGGGAAGGUACAUUCUAUAAAUUGACUCUUAUUCCUUUUGCUUAGGCAGUUCCUGCGGACAAGAAUAUCGUCGUUCUACAACAAUCGGUGGCUUCUGAAGUGACCAAUAGGAUCUGCAAACUCUGGCAGAAGUGGCACAUAUGAAUUUUAUUGGGGUGGACAGAUUAUUGGAUCAUUGUGCAUCCCUUCCACUGCAAGCACUUUGUCACCAUGUCCUCUGUUGAAGAGACUUGACGCGCUUGAUGACUUCUAGGAUGUUUUUCUGCUGGUUUGGGGAUGCCAAACUUCAUAAGAAGGGCUGACAGGUAUUUUCUCCAUCCACCUGAGAAUUGCUUUGCCUUGGCAUAGUUGGCAUAUGGUCAAUAUGGCUCAUUUAUCGGAUUUAGUUGAAUGUUGUCAGAGCUUUAAAGUUAGGUAAGUUGGGCUUGGAGAUAUUGUUGGUUUGCCUAUCCUGCAAAUGGAUUUGGAAGGUUUUUCCCAGGCAAUAAUUGUGGUACAUCUCCAAUGUUUUGAAGUUUUAACUGUGAGUCGUCCAUGUUUCUAAUACAUAAAAGGAAUCAUUCUUAUUGGUAGACCAUGUGAUUGGUGGCAGGUUUGGAUUCUUGAUUUUCCAACACUCAGAGGGUUGUAUUGGAGGCAUUGGUGGGUUUCAUCACUGACAGUAGACCCUCCUGAUAGAAGAUGAAUCACAUUACAAGAUCUCAUUAUCGAUCCUGAUUGUUGGAUGGGUAAUUUAGUGCUGGGACAAGAAGGUUCUAUGUCUUGUAUCUGUUUUGUGUAAGAAUCAUCAACUUACAUGGUGCAAUGAUUCAUUACUGUUCUACUUCAAAACAAUGAAACCAGUUUGAUGUCAUUACUAGAAGAUCAGGAAUUACUACAUCAUAAAUGCCUGGCAUUCUUGGACUGAAAACACCCACAUAGCUCAAGAGAGAAAGGCACAUCCUCAGGCAUCUAAAAGCCAAGAUACAACAAAAACUUAUGUUAUAUAGAAAGGAUGGUGGGUGGAAAGAGCACAGAAUAUCCAGCAAUUGGCUGACAACUGUAUUAUGCGUGGAAUUUUCAGCACUGCCAAAGUCAUCUUCAAUCCAAACACUUCUUAUUAAAGAAGCAAAAAUAUAAAGUACAGUAAACAAGUUGGUGCCCACAAGAAGGAGCAGUUUGGAAAAUGUCAAACAAGACUGCCUUAAUGUGAAUGCCCUUUAUUCUAUUUUACAACAUGCUAUCCACUACAAUGUCAGUACUACUACAGCUGGAUAAGAGGUUCUGAUCUGCUGAAAGCAAUGCUCUUGAUAUAAUAGUGAUUACCUUGGAGAGAACUAAUCUCAUGACGUAAUUACAUUUAAAGGAGCAUCACCAACAAAAGAUAACGCUUCAGAAAUUGUCUCAUAUAUCUUUUCCAUGGAUACAAGACCUGAAUCUAAUUGAUAACAAUUAUGUAAUAAGUUACAAUGCAACAUUAUCAAAAUGAAGCAGGUUUGGUCCUCUGUGUAUCUCUCCUGUCCAAUGAUCUCAAAGUAAUCCUGUAAUUGUCAUCCUCGACGACCUAAAACUAUUGGCUGAAUAAGGUAAACAAUUGCAGUUGGACGAAAAGAGAGAAAAGUAGAAAAAAACACUA